UUGCUUGUUCAACCACAGUGCUUCAGCUCGAGGCUGCCCUCCUAACAUCCUCCACAUCUUUCCUCUUCCGCUACUCACCUUUCUUUGUAGACCACAAAGUAAAGAGCUGCCUGGAUGGUGUGAAAGUGCAGCGUGGGCUUUUGAUUCUACUUUGGAAACGGUGAACUCUUCAAAUGAUCCGAAGCUAUCUGGUGGCCUUCUGAAAGAAAGGGUUAUGUCGAUUUAAAGGGAACUCGCACAAGUGCGUAGAAUGUGGACAAGCAGCCUGCUGAAGGUUACCACACUUAGAAACCACAUCUGGCUCAGGAAGUCCCUAGGCAUCGGUGGAGGCCAACGGAAGCAUGUCUGGAGGACCAACGUGUUAUCUGCAACUGCGAUUACUGCCAGCGGUGACGUGUUGGAGCCCGAGCUUUUCUUCACUAGCACAUUUGUUUUGCUGUUACUGUUUAUGAAGUACUCAGUAGAAAUAAAAUUCUCCCAAAGAUGCGUGGCCUACCAGUCCUGUGUGGUGGUUGGAGAGAGAACUUUCACCCGGACCGGAGCGAGCUACCUGUGGAGUCAGAGACUCGUUGU